UACGGAGGGGGCAAGCGUUGUUCGGAAUCAUUGGGCGUAAAGGGCGCGUAGGCGGCCGUCCAAGUCGGGUGUGAAAUCCCUCGGCUCAACCGAGGAACUGCACUCGAUACUGGUUGGCUAGAGUCCGGGAGGGGAUGGUGGAAUUCCCAGUGUAGCGGUGAAAUGCGUAGAUAUUGGGAAGAACACCGGUGGCGAAGGCGGCCAUCUGGACCGGAACUGACGCUGAGGCGCGAAAGCCAGGGGAGCGAAUGGG
rnacentral:rRNA from 1 species